AGCAGGGUAGCUCAGUGGAAAGAGCCCGGGCUUGGGAGUCAGAGGUCAUGGGUUCAAAUCCCGACUCUGCCC
rnacentral:tRNA from 1 species